rnacentral:misc_RNA from 1 species
CAAGGUCUUGAAUGUUCAGGUCCCUUUCCUGUUUAAGCUCGCUGUUGAUUGGUUGAGCACUGCUACUGGCAAUGCUACUGCCCUUGCUUCCUUCACUACUGCUAAUUCUACUCUCAUUGCUCUCUUUGCAACCCCUGCAUCUGUUCUCAUUGGUUAUGGCAUUGCCCGCUCUGGGGCUUCUGCUUUCAAUGAACUGAGGACUGCCGUGUUCUCUAAGGUUGCUCUGCGAACCAUCCGUCAAGUUUCUAGAAAGGUGUUUUCACAUUUGCAUGACUUGGACCUCCGUUUUCAUCUCAGUCGAGAAACUGGUGGAUUAAAUAGAAUAAUUGAUCGUGGCAGCCGAGCAAUCAAUUUUAUUCUCUCUUCAAUGGUGUUCAAUGUUGUACCAACUGUCUUGGAGAUAUCUAUGGUAUCAGGCAUUUUGGCAUACAAAUUUGGAGCUCCUUUUGCAUGGAUCACGU